GUAGGGUGCGAGCGUUAAUCGGAAUUACUGGGCGUAAAGCGUGCGCAGGCGGUUUUGUAAGACAGGCGUGAAAUCCCCGGGCUUAACCUGGGAAUUGCGCUUGUGACUGCAAGGCUAGAGUGCGUCAGAGGGGGGUAGAAUUCCACGUGUAGCAGUGAAAUGCGUAGAGAUGUGGAGGAAUACCGAUGGCGAAGGCAGCCCCCUGGGACGUGACUGACGCUCAUGCACGAAAGCGUGGGGAGCAAACAGGAUUAGAUACCCUGGUAGUCCACGCCCUAAACGAUGUCAACUAGUUGUUGGGGAUUCAUUUUCUCAGUAACGUAGCUAACGCGUGAAGUUGACCGCCUGGGGAGUACGG
rnacentral:rRNA from 1 species